rnacentral:rRNA from 1 species
CCUACGGGGGGCUGCAGUGGGGAAUAUUGGACAAUGGGGGAAACCCUGAUCCAGCGACGCCGCGUGUGUGAAGAAGGCCUGCGGGUUGUAAAGCACUUUUAGUGGGGACAAAAAGCCAGGGGCUAACACCAUCUGGUCUUGAUUUAACCCACAGAAAAAGCACCGGCUAACUCUGUGCCAGCAGCCGCGGUAAUACAGAGGGUGCAAGCGUUAAUCGGAAUUACUGGGCGUGAAGCUCGCGUAGACGGGUGAAAUCCCCGGGCUCAACCUGGGAACUGCAUUUGAUACUGCUUGGCUAGAGUACGGUAGAGGGAAGUGGAAUUUCCGGUGUAGCGGUGAAAUGCGUAGAUAUCGGAAGGAACACCAGUGGCGAAAGCGACUUCCUGGACCAGUACUGACGUUCAUGUGCGAAAGCGUGGGGAGCAAACAGGAUUAGAUACCCCAGUAGUC